rnacentral:rRNA from 1 species
AAAAGAAACUAACAAGGUAUUCCCCCAGUAACGGCGAGUGAAGCGGGAAGAGCUCAAGCUUAAAAUCUCCAUGCUUCGCAUGGCGAAUUGUAGUCUAUUGAGGCUGUUGUCAGCAUAGCGAUCUGGGACAAGUCCCUUGGAAAAGGGCAGCAUGGAGGGUGAUACUCCCGUCUCUGCUCAGAUUGUCUGUGUGUACGAUACGCUUUCUUUGAGUCGAGUUGUUUGGGAAUACAGCUCAAAGUAGGUGGUAAAUUCCAUCUAAAGCUAAAUAUUGGUGCGAGACCGAUAGCGAACAAGUACCGUGAGGGAAAGAUGAAAAGAACUUUGAAAAGAGAGUUAAAGAGUACCUGAAACUGUUGAAAGGGAACCGUAUCGUUUCCAGUGUUGUAUCCUGUGCAUAUUUCAUUAGCGGAGCAAUUUGCUGGUGCCCUGUGCAUGGGUGUGACGUCAGAGUCAGUUUGUAUGCUGCGGGAGAUGGUCAGUGAGGAGGUGCGUCACUUCGGUGAAAGUUAUAUCUCGCUGUCUAGUAGCCGUGGUUGAGACUGAGGUGCCUACAACAUGCCUUGGGGUUCAGGGUCGUCUCGUUUUGGUAACUGCUUGGAUAGCUUGCUAUGUUUGUGGUAUAUCGAGGCGAUUGAUGACGUUGAAAACCUCUGCUGUUCGGGACUCUGGCGAAAUGGAGCG